AAGGAUGGCUUAGUCUAGAGUCCAGACUUACACCAUUGUCACACAAAAUCACCAAAAAUAAUUAGCUUAGUAUAGUAGAAAUGGUGAGGCUUUCAAAGUUAGAGGUGCCUUCAAGAGAAAACUUCGAGUGUUUUGAUGGAAAAAAUAUUAGUUGAAGGCCCUCUCAACAUGUGGGGGUUAACUUAUCAAAAAGAUCAAGCUUGGCUUAGAAAUUAGACCAGGAAGAAUCCUUUGGAUAGAUGAUGCAUGCUGCAGAAUGGCGAAAUUGGAUGAUUGAUAACUUGAGAUAAAAGCAGAGAGGGGAAGCAUAAAUUGACGAAACGCACAAAGGAGGACCCAUAGAACCUGAACGUCUGAACUUGCAACUAAUAGUGUCCAUGACGAAACUACCGAUCGUUCUUCCCUUCCUCAGGCCUUUAUAUUGAAAAUAUGAUGAUAGGCAAAAGAUAGAUAAAACAAUUUACACAUAAUUCUCUUCUAAAUAAUAUAUUAAAUUAAAAAUAUUAGAGAGUGGUCUGAAAUCGAGGUAUGCUUAAAAAUACUAUUGUAAAAGCGAUAUCGCCCCCCCAUGUGCGAGGCUACUGGUGGCCUAUCAUAGAGAUACCAUCAUCCGGUGGAUGAGCACUCAUUCCUCUCUAU
rnacentral:lncRNA from 1 species